AGCAGGGUAGAGCAGCGGCAGCUCGACAGGCUCAUAACCUGUAGGUCAUGGGUUCGAUUCCCAUUCCUGCGA
rnacentral:tRNA from 1 species